rnacentral:rRNA from 1 species
CGGCGGACGGGUGAGUAACGCGUGGGUAACCUACCCUGUACACACAGAUAACAUACCGAAAGGUAUGCUAAUACGGGAUAAUAUAUUUGAGAGGCAUCUCUUGAAUACCAAAGGUGAGCCAGUACAGGAUGGACCCGCGUCUGAUUAGCUAGUUGGUAAGGUAACGGCUUACCAAGGCGACGAUCAGUAGCCGACCUGAGAGGGUGAUCGGCCACAUUGGAACUGAGACACGGUCCAA